CUGCUGAUAAACAGGAUAUUCUGCCAUGAACUACAAAAGAAAAAUGAAUAUAUCACAUUAAUGGUUUUGGUAAUGGUAACACAUUACUUACUGUGGUGGCACAGUGGAUGUCUUUCCAUACAUUGGCUUCCCUGGAGAGAUCUGAGACUUCAAAAAGGAAACGUGCCACAGAUGUAAGUGUCCCUUACCUUGAUGAUGAUGUGGGCUCUGUGAUCUGCCUCUGCAUGCGUGCAUGUCUGAUCAGAUGUUCUUUCAGCGCAUUCUGGACCUCUGCUGGUAUAUCAGGGCCAACACAACUUCCAAAAGACAAAAAGUGAGACUACCAGCAAAGCGAGCCCGCAGAAGCUGACGACUACUGCUAACAGACUGACUGAGAUGUCUGCAAGGAAUUAGAAAAUUAGAAACAGAGAUCAUCAUAACAGACAAACAUGGAGAAAAAGAAAAAAAAAAAAAAAGUAAGAAAGAAACAACUCCAGGCUACAGACUACUAAACUGAACUCAUGGAAAAGUGCAACCAGAGUUUGAGCAUUUUUUUUUCUAAAGGCUCACAGGAAGAAAAAUAGUCCUCUACGUGUGUAUUGAAUCUAUGAAACAGUAUGUAUCUCACAAAUACUUUUGGGAUAUUAAGUUUCCACAAGAUCAUUUAGGAUUUUUUUCUUUAAUUUCCAAAUACAUCUAUCAGUAACAAAUCACAAAAUCAUUAAGGUUGGAAAAGACUUCCAAGAUCAUCUGGUCCAACCAUCCCCCUACCACAAAUAUCACCCACUAAACAAUACUGAGCUUAAGGCCCAUUGGGCAUGAAAAUAGGUGAGAAUAGUCAACAUAAACAGAAGAUGAUUGUAGUUUGGAUA